rnacentral:lncRNA from 1 species
GUACAUGUAAUGAUCUAGUUUACCCUGCAGCUGGAGGCUUGGCAUCCACCAGAACAGGGAGAUCGAUCCAAGACAAGAUAACACAGUUGGAGACUUACAAGCACACAUAUUCUCUGUCUUCACUAAAAAAAUAGCACAUAAGUAGAACAUGUAUUAGCAAGUGAACGGGUAAUGAAAGAAGAGGUAGUAGCAAGCUAAAAAUUUAGUACGUUAGAACAGGUAAUAGAAGAAGAGGUAGUAGCAAGCUAAAAAUUUAGUACGUUUGAAUCUACAAAGACUCCACUUAUUGUGUGACACUAAA